AGAACUUAGCAGAGAUGCUUUGGUGCCUUCGGGAACUCUGAGACAGGUGCUGCAUGGCUGUCGUCAGCUCGUGUUGUGAAAUGUUGGGUUAAGUCCCGCAACGAGCGCAACCCUUAUCCUUUGUUGCCAGCGAUUCGGUCGGGAACUCAAAGGAGACUGCCAGUGAUAAACUGGAGGAAGGUGGGGAUGACGUCAAGUCAUCAUGGCCCUUACGAGUAGGGCUACACACGUGCUACAAUGGCAUAUACAAAGAGAAGCGACCUCGCGAGAGCAAGCGGACCUCAUAAAGUAUGUCGUAGUCCGGAUUGGAGUCUGCAACUCGACUCCAUGAAGUCGGAAUCGCUAGUAAUCGUGGAUCAGAAUGCCACGGUGAAUACGUUCCCGGGCCUUGUACACACCGCCCGUCACACCAUGGGAGUGGGUUGCAAAAGAAGUAGGUAGCUUAACCUUCGGGAGGGCGCUUACCACUUUGUGAUUCAUGACUGGGGUGAAGUCGUAACAAGGUAACCGUAGGGGAACCUGCGGUUGGAUCACCUCCUU
rnacentral:rRNA from 1 species